GCAUUUAGUAUAAAAGUACUCUUAUUGGCAGUAAAAAUGCCAGUAAUGUUGACUGGAAUCCUUGUUACUUGCGGAGAUAGAAUGUAUUGGUAUCUUCAGAUAACGGGGCUCAGCCUCCAGUGCUGCUGCCGAGAGAAGUCAUUUUCUAUAAGGAUGGCCAAGAUGAAGCAGUAGUCUUGGCUUUUCAGACUGGAUAAAGGUUGAUGGCAGGACAGCACUAUAUACAGAUGAGGCCUCCUAGGUUGCAUAGGAACAAUGGUUACAGUGUGCAGAAGGAUUCCAGUGGCAGUGCUGCAUCCCAAGACAAGAAUGAUCCUUCCUUCCAGCACUGCAGCAAUAUGAAGCAGACCUGUAGGAGGAUUUCCUCCAUACACAAAUCUGUUAAGGGGCUACAGGUUCCUUUGGGGGUGAAGGAAUCUCACAAAGGAUGACACUGAACUCUUGUUUAUAAACUGACCCCAGUUUACUGCCCUACCAGUCCUCUGCCAAAAAAUGAUGCAGCUUCUGCAAGGUGUCAUAGGCCUAAGAGGAAAUGCAUGUUACUUCAUCUGCAGUCCUACCUUACCAGGGCUGAGUUCUCUCAUUUGACUAUCUGGGUUGCCUGUGUCACCAUAGGCACGAGUUGAAGGCAAUGGAGGUUCAGAGGCAGUUGAAGCCAGAAUUUGCAAGAGACAGUAAGAAAAGAAUCCAUUCUCUCUCUUUUUUUUUUUUUUUUUUUGUCCACUGUGGAAAUGUGGCAGAAGUCAGCAACUGAAAAACAAGUUCCAGAGUAGUUAUAGGCUGGAAUGACUCUUAAGACAAUCAACUUGAGUUUCUGGCAUUCGUGAUCACUUCUGCAGUACCAGCCCAGAGGGAGCAGACCAGCACGCACAAUCAGUCCUGCAAUAACAGAUCAAUGUUUCCAGCUUUGGGCUACUCCCUGACUCUCCAUAAACAAACCACACUGUAGCAGUCCCACAAUAACAAGCCACUGUGCACACA